rnacentral:rRNA from 1 species
GGACCCGCACAAGUGGAGGAGUAUGCGGUUUAAUUCGAUGCAACACGAAGAACCUUACCAAGGCUUGACAUGGUAUGAAUUUCCCUGAAAGGGGAAAGUGCCUUCGGGAACAUACACACAGGUAGUGCAUGGCUGUCGUCAGCUCGUGCUGUGAAGUGUUCAGUUCAGUCUGGCAACGAGCGCAACCCUUGUGUUUAGUUACAUUAUCUAAACAGACUGCCGAUGACAAAUCGGAGGAAGGAGAGGACGACGUCAAGUCAUCAUGCUCCUUACGCCUUGGGCUACACGCGUACUACAAUGGGUGAGACAAAGAGAUGCUAUCCUGCGAAGGCUCGCAAACCUCACAAACUCAUUCUCAGUUCGGAUUGUAGGCUGCAACUCGCCUACAUAAAGAUGGAUUCACUAGUAAUCGC